rnacentral:tRNA from 1 species
GGCGGAUUAGCCAAGAUCUGAUGU